AUGGCAGGUCAUGCCACGCACGAUGCUCUCCGCCGCCCCGGACCAGCUGAUUUGGAAAUGGACAGCGAGCGGCACCUACUCCGCACAAUCCUGCUACUAGGCCACCUUCCCUGGAUCGACCACUUGCUACUCCUGGAAGCUCAUCUGGAAGAGUUGGGCGUCACCAAGAGUGAAAUUCUUUCACUGGCUGGCCAACCAAGACCGGUGCUGGACGGCCGAGAGGCUGGCUCGACAUGGACUGCAACAUCACCCCCACUGCCUCCUAUGCGAUCAAGAACCGGAGACGCUCCGACACUUGCUACCGGAAUGCCCCUUCACCCACUAGGCAUGGCAUGA
rnacentral:rRNA from 1 species